CAGCUCAGCGUCACUGCUCGCGGAGCUGAGGUCGGCUCAGGUGAGGUGGUCGACCCGGAAAUGGCUGUGCUGUGGCCCCUGGGUGUUGUAAGGAUCCUGCAGCGGAGUUGUUGUUAAGGGGGAGCAGCCUCACCCCGCUUCCUCCAUCUACCCUGAAACAACCAUGACGAAAGGCAGAGCGGUUGAAAGAUCACAAACGGCGGCACUCCAUUCGACCCCUCUGGGGGACAAGGCAGCGGGGACGCGGGGUCCCUCGACGCCGGGCAGCAGAGACCACCUGAAAGAGAAAGCCUGUGCAGAAGCUGGCUCAGCAAGAAUGUCACUUCUUAUAUUGGUGUCCAUUUUCCUGUCUGCAGCUUUUGUUAUGUUUUUGGUAUAUAAAAAUUUUCCUCAGCUUAGUGAAGAAGAAAGAGUGAAUAUGAAGGUUCCCAGAGAUAUGGAUGAUGCCAAGGCUCUAGGAAAAGUUUUAUCCAAAUAUAAGGACACCUUUUAUGUACAAGUACUUGUAGCUUAUUUUGCUACGUAUAUUUUCUUGCAAACAUUUGCUAUUCCAGGCUCUAUAUUUCUCAGUAUACUCUCAGGGCUUCCUUAUCCCUUUCCACUAGCCUUAUUUCUUGUUUGUUUGUGUUCUGAACUCGGUGCCUCAUUCUGCUAUAUGCUCUCCUAUUUAGUUGGGAGGCCAGUUGUAUAUAAAUACCUAACAGAGAAGGCAGUAAAAUGGUCACAGCAGGUUGAACGUCACAGAGAACAUCUCAUUAACUACAUUAUAUUUUUGAGAAUAACACCAUUUCUGCCUAAUUGGUUUAUUAAUAUUACAUCUCCUGUGAUAAAUGUGCCCUUGAAAGUUUUCUUUAUUGGCACUUUUCUCGGUGUUGCACCUCCCUCUUUUGUAGCAAUUAAGGCAGGAACAACACUAUACCAGCUUACAACAGCAGGGGAAGCUGUUUCCUGGAACUCAGUAUUUGUUCUAAUGAUUUUGGCUCUUCUUUCUAUUCUGCCAGCCAUCUUCCAGAAAAAACUAAAGCAGAAAUUUGAGUGAAUAAUCCUCUGGGUUUUAGUUUUCCCAUCAUCAUCAUCAUCACCAUCUCAGGAUUGGCGGGUUUAUGUGUUACAAUCCCCUCUUCAGUAAUUGGAACAGGAGUUUGUAAAAUAAAAUUUCUUACCAGAUGGUUAAAAUAAUGCAUUUAAGUGGCAAAGGAGAGAAAAAGGAAAAGUGGAAAUUGGUAUACUAUGAAAAGUGCUGUCAGUAGUUAUGAUAGACAUCUCCUAAAUUACUAUUCCAAGACUAUAGGUAUUAAGCAUAGCAGGAUAGUAGGAAAUUCUUGACCCAGCUGAUUAAUUCAAUUUAAUAUAUUUCAUGAGCUUGCCAUAAAUAGUUACCGUUGACUUGAUAAUUUAAUGUUUUUCUCUCUGUUCAGUACUAUAGCUAAAAUAGGAAAAGCAAAUACAAAGUUCAAAAGCAAAGAUAUAGUAUUGCUCUUCUGACUAAUGUCAAGCCUUUUUUGAGAGGAUAAACUUGAAAACUAAAGCUCAAAAGAGAUUUACAUUUUCUUCCUCUUUUUACCUUUGAGAUAAUAGACUUGUUUAGAAGUUGCAUCUUCAGUGGACUACUGAAUUUGGAAAAGAUAUCAAGUUAUAUCUAUUUGAGAAUAUCCAGUCUUUCCACAUUCAUCAUCAUUGACUGUCAAGAAAGAGCCUUCUGCAGGCUGUACCCUAAAUGCAGCUGAUGGCCUGUAUUCAUGGAUUCACAGACUUGGCCUGAUGCCAGAUGUAGAUUCAAGCUUUAGCCAUAUCUUGAAGACAGUUACAUAGUAAUAAGCACCAGAGAGCAUGUGAAUAGUGAGGAGGUCAGCAAACUAACUAGGGAAGCUGACUUAGUGAGACUGCUCCUCCUUAGUUAAUGGUCUCUGUCUGGAAGUCUAUUACUACGAGUGUAAUAUUUCUAAGGCAUUUAACAAAUGUAAAUUAAAAUGUAAGAAGAAUAAAUUGUACUGAAAAAAACCUCAAAAAAAAAAA